rnacentral:lncRNA from 1 species
UGUAAUAAAGAUAAUCUAACGUUUUACCUAAUGAUAUAUAAGGAGGGCAUUUGCACAACAUGUUUCACAACAGCACACAACAAAAUUCCAGAGACAUAUUGAGCGACCAACUGAUACCAAUCACGACCACACCCAGAGACAGAUGGCUGACUUAAGCCCUAGCCACACGAACUGACCACUGGUGUAAAGAACAACAUUCCAUGAAUAUCGCAAGCACCCAGACACGAAUUACCAGAAAUACACACACACCCACACACACACUUAGGUGUGUUGGACUCCGAGGACAAAGGACACUGCCAAGGGCCAAUGGGAAGUCGACACCACCUGGAGAGUGGACCGUCCCUCCACUCAUCGACCAGUCAGGAGAGCGGACCUAUUAGACUCAACAUCAACACACUGUUAUUUCAUUGUAUAAAUUGGAUGUAUACUAUGUUUCGGGGCUCUCUUCUGCUAGUUCCCUAUGAGCUAAACGAAGGAGUCCGUGCACGCUUUGCCAAAUAUCUUUGUCUCAUAAUAAACUGCCUUACUAUAAACUGAAUCACCCGGUCCAGCGUCUUGACUUGUCUCCUUCUCAAAUAACUAAUCAUCAACAGAAUUGGUAGCAGAGGAUGGUUUCAAACUCCUGAAUUCGGUCCAUUAAUGGUUGAUGUGAGAAGAGACAAGUCCAGGACAAUCUUGUAAGGACGGGUGACCUGUCCGCAGGAGUCAUCGGCGAUUCUGCUUGCCCCGGGAAACUGAUCAACGAGCUCGAUUAAAAAAAAGGUAAGCAGAGCCUGUUAAAACAAAAUCUGCAUAUUGUAUUAUAGUCUUUAUCCAAAAUUUGAUCAGUAGUACUGGGCGUGAGUAUGAAUUACUGUUAAUAUUGCAUGAAAUGAUAUAGACAAACGUUAAGGCUGAGUACAAGGAUAUUUGCUGUUAUAGGCCUAAAAAUGUAUCCGUGAGUUUCUGUCCAACCAAAGUGGCGUUUGGUUUGGACAUUAAUACAUAGUCGGGUACAUGGGAUAUUGCAUUCCGUGAGAUUGGGACGGACUGAAGUGACUCUCAGUCCGGAGCAUCAAUACAUAGUCGGGUGCAUAUAAAUUAACCCAGAGAUAUCCGUGAGAUUGGGGCUAACUGAAGUGGUCAUCAGUUAGGAGCACCAAUAUAUAGUCGGAUAAUUAGUUGUUAGGUCAAGUUGCAUCGGUACACUGGGACUAGUCGAAAUGGCGCUCGACUAGGCGCAUCAGUAAAACUGGGAUUGAUCACGAUUAGAACCGAGUAGCGUCAGUAAACUGGGAUCGGUAUAACUACUCAAGUAGAGUUAGUAAACUGGGAUUGGUAAAACGUAUCUGUGAGUUUCUGUCCGGCUGAAGUGGCGUUUAGUUGGAGACAUUAAUAUACAGUCAGAUACAUUGGAAUAGUGCAUUCCGUGAAAUUGGGGCGGACUGAAGUGACUCUCAGUCCGGAGCGUCAAUACACAGUCGGGUGCAUAGAAAAUUAACCUGGAAAUAUCCGUGAGAUUGGGACAACUGAAGUAGUCAUCAGUUAGGAGCGCCAAUAUACAGUCGGAUAAUUUGGAAUAUUGUAGUGUUGAUUGAGCGUUUCACAGGUCUCCUUUUAAUCAAUUUAAUUUCAUUUGUAUAAUUUUUAAGAAUUACUGAGUGAAUUGUGGUCAGCCGCCGUGCUGUUGGUAUUGUCCUGGGUUAUUUCAACAAUACAAUUAACGAACUGUCUUAAUAAAGGUUGAAGUGGUUGUUAUUCUGCUACUGUAAUAUAGACAGUUCAUUAAAUUAAAUUAUAAUUUUCGGAACUUUGUCUACGAGGGUGGGGCACCAGAGAUAAGUCUGUGUCAGCACCGUGAAUACAUCGCUGGUUUUGACCAACGACGGGCUAAGUAUACAAAGAUAGAGGGACAUUAGUGUGGGUAAUAAAAUGGCAACCAUUCCACCAACCAAACUUAAAUUUAGCGAAUAUUUAGAUCAGAAGAUACAGGAUAGAGCGGGGGGAAAGGAACAUUAUAAAGCAAUAAAGUAGUGAUGGAGGAAGGGUUGAAGGAAGCAGUUGAGAAGGGAAUAGAAAGUGAAAAGGACAGAAACAGGAACCACAUGUUUAAGAAGGAAGAAAAAAAAAAGAGAAAAGGAAGACACCGUCAGGGGCCCAGAUAACGUGGCAAGUGGAAAGGGGGUACCUGGUGGGAGUGAAAGACAGGUUUGUUGGGUGGGUAACAGUAGUACCAGAGCAAUACCAAAGGCACGAGAGGAGGCCAAGUCAGUCAUAAAGUGGCUGCAAAUCAGUAACAAGCACCUGAGACAGGUGGAGGAGAGAUUCGGGAUUGUACACAAAUUUGGGUAGGUGUGCAGGCCCCAAUCUCAGGGCCUCGUGGAACGCGCCACUCAAACCCUUAAGGCUAAAUAGCUAAGGAUGAAUGCCCCAGGGAGAAUUGGACAUGUGGUAUAUGAAAGGGGGCAAUCCUACAAGAGAAGGGCUGACAUAAGGAUAAUUUACUAACCUUACAAAAGACAUUGUUAAGAAAUGCAGCAAAAUUGAUACAUGGCUUGAGCCAUGUAUAAAUAGGGGGAGUAUGGUAGAGCAGGCGAUAGAACAGGAUAGGAUGCUACUAGAACAAAAACAUUUUUUGUAGAAUGUCCAUUCCAACAUUUGGAAAUGGACUUAUUGAACUAUUCAGAAUUAAGGGGAAGAAGGGGUGUUUAACAAUAACAGAUAAGUAUAGCAAAUGGGUAGAAGUGUUCCCAACUUACUUGGUGGACAUGAUUAUGGUAGCUAGAAUAUUAGGACAAGAUAUAAUCCCUAGUGUUGAUACUGGGAUCUAUCUCUUUAAAUGAUGGAUGACAGUUUAGCUAAUCAGGUAGAGCCUAUAGAAUGCCAGAGUUAGGGAGAAUAGAGAUACCAGAACAGGUAGACAUAGAAGUUAAAGAUAUACUAGCAGAGCACAUGAGAAGACUGUUUGUUAACCAAACCCGUAUGUCCAAGAUUUUGUGUUCAACAGGUGAAUUACAGGAGAAGAACCGAUACCAACAGGGUCCGGGGGUUACCUCCUUAACGAAGAUUCCCUAUCCCGACCGUUCAUCACUGUGUGUGCUCCUAGAGGUGUGAGUAUGGGGUGGUACCAAGCAGAGAGACUAAGGGCAGGAGAGGGUUGACGGUUUUUGGGAAGAGUAGAGACUCUGAGCUGCAUCAUAGUCUAAUCUUUCUGAUAUAUUCAGAUCCACCACCUACUGGUACUAAACAUAGGUUACCGUUGUCAUGGAGAAGAAGUAAAAGAUAAACUAUAUAAUACACUGAUGAGUGACGUACAGAAUAAGGAAUCAAAGAAGAUCAAGAUGUAGAAUUUAAGGUAAACAUUAAACAAUUUCCUGGGGAAGCAGACAACUGUACAGGAAUAUGGGUUGGCCAGAUUGAAGUACUCAGCCAACCCACCUCGGUUCACCUAAAUUCCGGAUGAAUACCAGUGUUAUAGAUACAAAAAUGGCACCGAGAAUUAAGAUGAUUUUAAUGGCUGGAAAGGUAAUUGUUAAUAUGACUGACUUAGGUUUGAAAGCACAGGAGAAAAUGUGUAACCUCAUAGCACCUAUAACUGAUGAAGGGUGGGCUAGUACCAGCAAAGGACGCAUACGACAGAAAUUACCACAAAGGGUUGUUAGGAAUUGCACCCUGGGGUUAUUGGUCUAACCAGUUCGAGUUAGUCAUCAGAGGCCAGUUAUAGGAGGCUAAAGUAGGCACAGGAGGAGUUUUGACCAGGAUGGGAGUAGCUUUACAAGAUGGAUGCUAUUGGCAUCCUCAGGGAAGUUCCAGAUGAAUACAAAGCUAUGAAUCAAAUAUGUGAAGGCUUUAACACUACAUUAUUUUGGUAGUUGACAAUAAAUAAUAAUGUGGAUUGAAUUAAUGACAUAUUUUAAUCAACAGAGAUUCAUGAAUGAAACAGGGGAUGCAGUAAAGAGGUUCUCUGACCAAUUAUCCGCCACCUCCCUCAUGACCUGGUAAAAUAGACUGACUCUCAAUAGGUUACGGGCAAAGAGGAUGGUGUAGGUAGAAUGAUUAGGUUCAUUGCUGUACGUAAAUUUUAGAUAACACAGCUCAUGUUUGGGAAAUGGAAAAGUGUUGCAAGAACUGUAUUAUGGGCUGCUUUCACCUGUAUGAGUGUGUUUGGGUUGUGUGGUUGUUGUUUGGUCCCGUGUGCAAGAGGUUUAAUCACCAGAACUCUAGAGAGAUGAUAACGGAGCAGAUGGUGAGCUACGGACCGAGUCAAAGUUCAGAUCAAUGAGAUGACAAGUACCUACCGCCGAGCAAGGUGGAGGAUUCAUUCAAAUAUGAGGAGCACAUGUUAGAUGAGACCAUCUAUUGGGAUGCAUGAAUUAGUUUGAAUUUGUGUGAAAUUUCUGAAUCCAAUCAAAAUAGAUGUGUUAUAAUGUAUGUGAAAUAUCUAGCAAAACGGGUGGAUUGUAAUGGAAAUGAUAUGAUUUUAAUCCCUAUUGAGACUUGACAAGCUAUCUGCUGAGGUGAGACGUGAAGAGGGGGACUCACAAAAUUUGUCUCAAAAUUUGUUUUCACUCCCGCUGUGCCGCAGAUUGUUCUUUUUUGUCACGUCUUGCAGACGUGAAGAGGGGGAUUUGUAAUAAAGAUAAUCUAACGUUUUACCUAAUGAUACAUAAGGAGGGCAUUUGCACAACAUGUUUCACAACAGCACACAACAAAAUUCCAGAGACAUAUUGAGCGACCAACUGAUACCAAUCACGACCACACCCAGAGACAGAUGGCUGACUUAAGCCCUAGCCACACGAACUGACCACUGGUGUAAAGAACAACAUUCCAUGAAUAUCGCAAGCACCCAGACACGAAUUACCAGAAAUACACACACACCCACACACACACUUAGGUGUGUUGGACUCCGAGGACAAAGGACACUGCCAAGGGCCAAUGGGAAGUCGACACCACCUGGAGAGUGGACCGUCCCUCCACUCAUCGACCAGUCAGGAGAGCGGACCUACUAGACUCAACGUCAACACACUGUUAUUUCAUUGUAUAAAUUGGAUGUAUACUAUGUUUCGGGGCUCUCUUCUGCUAGUUCCCUAUGAGCUAAACGAAGGAGUCCGUGCACGCUUUGCCAAAUAUCUUUGUCUCAUAAUAAACUGCCUUACUAUAAACUGAAUCACCC